rnacentral:rRNA from 1 species
GAUGAACGCUGGCGGCGUGCUUAACACAUGCAAGUCGAACGAAGCACUUUGACCUCUUCGGAGAGAUGAGUGACUGAGUGGCGGACGGGUGAGUAACGCGUGGGUAACCUGCCUCGUACAGGGGGACAACAGUUGGAAACGACUGCUAAUACCGCAUAAGCGCACGGUAUCGCAUGAUACAGUGUGAAAAGCUGAGGCGGUACGAGAUGGACCCGCGUUGGAUUAGCUAGUUGGUGGGGUAACGGCCUACCAAGGCGACGAUCCAUAGCCGACCUGAGAGGGUGACCGGCCACAUUGGGACUGAGACACGGCCCAA